rnacentral:rRNA from 1 species
GACGAACGCUGGCGGCGUGCCUAAUACAUGCAAGUAGAACGCUGAAGAGAGGAGCUCGCUCUUCUUGGAAGAGUUGCGAACGGGUGAGCAACGCGUAGGUAACCUGCCUUGUAGCGGGGGAUAACUAUUGGAAACGAUAGCUAAUACCGCAUAACAAUGGGUGACCCAUGUCAUUCAUUUGAAAGGGGCAACUGCUCCACUACAAGAUGGACCUGCGUUGUAUUAGCUAGUAGGUGAGGUAACGGCUCACCUAGGCGACGAUACAUAGCCGACCUGAGAGGGUGAUCGGCCACACUGGGACUGAGACACGGCCCAGACUCCUACGGGAGGCAGCAGUAGGGAAUCUUCGGCAAUGGGGGCAACCCUGACCGAGCAACGCCGCGUGAGUGAAGAAGGUUUUCGGAUCGUAAAGCUCUGUUGUAAGUCAAGAACGAGUGUGAGAGUGGAAAGUUCACACUGUGACGGUAGCUUACCAGAAAGGGACGGCUAACUACGUGCCAGCAGCCGCGGUAAUACGUAGGUCCCGAGCGUUGUCCGGAUUUAUUGGGCGUAAAGCGAGCGCAGGCGGUUUGAUAAGUCUGAAGUUAAAGGCUGUGGCUCAACCAUAGUUCGCUUUGGAAACUGUCAAACUUGAGUGCAGAAGGGGAGAGUGGAAUUCCAUGUGUAGCGGUGAAAUGCGUAGAUAUAUGGAGGAACACCGGUGGCGAAAGCGGCUCUCUGGUCUGUAACUGACGCUGAGGCUCGAAAGCGUGGGGAGCGAACAGG